GAUCCCUUAGUUCAGUGGUAGAAUGUAUGAUUCCAGCCAUCUAAGCAGGAGCUUCCAUAAGGUCACCCGUUCAAUCCGGGUAGGGAUCA